rnacentral:tRNA from 1 species
GGCUCCUUAGUCUAAAGGUAAAGGAACUUUAGUUCCUUGGACGCACGGCCUCUCAAGCCGGAGAUGUCGGGUUCAAGCCCCGCAGGAGCUA